rnacentral:rRNA from 1 species
AACGAACGCUGGUAGCGUGGAUUAGGCAUGCAAGUCGAACGGGAUCAGCUGGUUAGCAAGUAAUCGGCUGUGAGAGUGGCGGAUUGGGGAGGAACACGUGAGCAACCUGCCUUGAGUCGGGGAGAACCGUUGGAAACGACGGCUAAUACCGGAUGUGGCGCCCGGUGACAUCACUGGAGCGCUAAAGGGGGCCGCAAGGCUCUCGCUCGUAGAGGGGCUCGCGCACCAUCAGCUUGUUGGCGGGGUAACGGCCCACCAAGGCCUACGGUUAGCUGGUCUGAGAGGAUGACCAGCCCCACUGGGACUGAGAUACUGCCCAGACUCCUACGGGAGGCUGCAGUCGAGGAUCAUUUGCAAUGGGCGAAAGCCUGACAAUGCGACGCUGCGUGGAGGAUGAAGGCCUUCGGGUUGUAAACUCCUGUCAUGGGGGAACAGGCGAGGGGACCCAACACGUCCCUUAGUUGAGUGUACCCCAAGAGGAAGCGACGGCUAACUCUGUGCCAGCCGCCGC